rnacentral:lncRNA from 1 species
UUUUGGUUUUUUGGGAAACUAGAAAAAUUUUGAAAAUGUGGGAAAGACAACAUAUACAAAUUUUGCUUCCAUGAGCAAAAGAUUGUGAUGCAAGCCACACCUUGUAGUAGUCGAAGGUUUGGAUGAACCAUAUAAAUUGAAUUUGCUUUGAACAGUCUUGAAUUUGCUUCGAAGGUUUGAGAAUUGUAGUUGCCCUCCAUUGAUGAAGCUCUUGUUGGCACCAUAAAUUGGAUUUGAUUCACACUGUCUUCAUCAAGAGUGUGUGAAGCUUUUAAGUAUU